GAUGAAGAACGCAGUGAAAUGCGAUAAGUAAUGCGAAUUGCAGAAUUCCGUGAGUCAUCGAAUCUUUGAACGCACAUUGCGCCCUCUGGUAUUCCGGAGGGCAUGCCUGUCUGAGCGUCAUUGUCAACCCUCAAGCUCAGCUUGCUGUUGGGUCCCCGUCGUUGCUUCAACGGCGGACCCGAAAGAUAACGGCAGAGUCCGUGAGACCCUGGAUGCAGCGAGCUUCUAGCACGCGUCUGGACGGUUUUUGGGCUUGGUCUUAACCAGAUAACUUCUGAUUGACCUCAGAUCAGGUAGGGAUACCCGCUGAACUUAAGCAUAUCAAUAAGCGGAGGA
rnacentral:misc_RNA from 1 species